rnacentral:sRNA from 1 species
ACGUAAUUGGGAAAAUAUAAUCAGGAGAUUGGUUUUGUACGUGAAUGGUAAUAAAAACGACGGUGGAAAUGAUCAUAUU